GUGGGGAAUUUUGGACAAUGGGCGAAAGCCUGAUCCAGCCAUGCCGCGUGCAGGAUGAAGGCCUUCGGGUUGUAAACUGCUUUUGUACGGAACGAAAAGACUCCUUCUAAUAAAGGGGGUCCAUGACGGUACCGUAAGAAUAAGCACCGGCUAACUACGUGCCAGCAGCCGCGGUAAUACGUAGGGUGCAAGCGUUAAUCGGAAUUACUGUGCGUAAAGCGUGCGCAAGCGGUUAUAUAAGACAGAUGUGAAAUCCCCGGGCUCAACCUGGGAACUGCAUUUGUGACUGUAUAGCUAGAGUACGGUAGAGGGGGAUGGAAUUCCGCGUGUAGCAGUGAAAUGCGUAGAUAUGCGGAGGAACACCGAUGGCGAAGGCAAUCCCCUGGACCUGUACUGACGCUCAUGCACGAAAGCGUGGGGAGCAAACAGGAUUAGAAACCCUGGUAGUCC
rnacentral:rRNA from 1 species